rnacentral:rRNA from 1 species
UACGUAGGUGGCAAGCGUUAUCCGGAUUUACUGGGUGUAAAGGGCGUGUAGGCGGGACUGCAAGUCAGAUGUGAAAUUCCAGGGCUCAACCCUGGAACUGCAUUUGAAACUGUAGUUCUUGAGUGAUGGAGAGGCAGGCGGAAUUCCUAGUGUAGCGGUGAAAUGCGUAGAUAUUAGGAGGAACACCAGUGGCGAAGGCGGCCUGCUGGACGAUGACUGACGUUGAGGCUCGAAAGCGUGGGGAGCAAACAGG